rnacentral:rRNA from 1 species
CGGCAACAGCUCAAAUUUGAAAUCUGGCCUCUUUUGGGGUCCGAGUUGUAAUUUGUAGAGGAUGUUUUGGGUACCGCACUGGUUUAAAUUUCUUGGAACAGAAUGUCAGAGAGGGUGAGAAUCCCGUC